AGAGCGAACGCUGGCGGCAUGCUUAACACAUGCAAGUCGCACGGGCAGGGGCAACCCUGUCAGUGGCGGACGGGUGAGUAACGCGUAGGUAUCUAUCCUUGGGUGGGGGACAACUGUGGGAAACUACAGCUAAUACCGCAUGAUAACUGAGGUUUAAAGGCGCAAGUCGCCUGGGGAGGAGCCUGCGUACGAUUAGCUUGUUGGUGGGGUAAAGGCCUACCAAGGCGACGAUCGUUAGCUGGUCUGAGAGGAUGAUCAGCCACAUUGGGACUGAGACACGGCCCAAACUCCUACGGGAGGCAGCAGUGGGGAAUAUUGGACAAUGGGCGCAAGCCUGAUCCAGCAAUGCCGCGUGUGUGAAGAAGGUCUUCGGAUUGUAAAGCACUUUCGACGGGGACGAUGAUGACGGUACCCGUAGAAGAAGCCCCGGCUAACUUCGUGCCAGCAGCCGC
rnacentral:rRNA from 1 species